CAGUAGCCACGGUAAUACGUAGGUGGCAAGCGUUGUCCGGAAUUAUUGGGCGUAAAGGGCUCGCAGGCGGUUUCUUAAGUCUGAUGUGAAAGCCCCCGGCUUAACCGGGGAGGGUCAUUGGAAACUGGGAAACUUGAGUGCAGAAGAGGGGAGUGGAAUUCCACGUGUAGCGGUGAAAUGCGUAGAGAUGUGGAGGAACACCAGUGGCGAAGGCGACUCUCUGGUCUGUAACUGACGCUGAGGAGCGAAAGCGUGGGGAGCGAACAGGAUUAGAUACCCGCGUAGUCCCUGUCUCUUAUAC
rnacentral:rRNA from 1 species